rnacentral:rRNA from 1 species
AUUGAACGCUGGCGGCAGGCUUAACACAUGCAAGUCGAACGAGUGGCGGCCGGGUGAGUCACGCUUGGGACUCUAGCUUAUGGAGGGGGAUAACUACGGGAAACCGUAGCUAAAACCGCGUACCAUAGGAUGAGCCAAAGUGGGAUUAGGUAGUUGGUGAGGUAAAGGCUCACCAAGCCGACGAUCUCUAGCUGGUCUGAGAGGAUGACCAGCCACACUGGGACUGAGACACUGCCCAUACUCCUACGGGAGGCAGCAGUGGGGAAUAUUGCGCAAUGGGGGCAAGCCUGAUGCAGCCAUGCCGCUUGUAUUCGUAGGGCCUGAGGGUUUGAAAAUACGUUCAGCGGGGUGGCGUUACCCGCAGGAGAAGCACCGGCGAACUCCGUGCCAGCAGCCGCGGUAAUUC